GGGGGAUAUUGCGCAAUGGGGGAAACCCUGACGCAGCAACGCCGCGUGAAGGAAGAAGGCCUUCGGGUCGUAAACUUUUGUCUUCUGGGACGAAACAUGACGGUACCAGAGGAGGAAGCCACGGCUAACUACGUGCCAGCAGCCGCGGUAAUACGUAGGUGGCGAGCGUUGUCCGGAAUUACUGGGUGUAAAGGGCGUGUAGGCGGGACUGCAAGUCAGAUGUGAAAUACCGGGGCUUAACCCCGGGGCUGCAUUUGAAACUGUGGUUCUUGAGUGCAGGAGAGGAAAGCGGAAUUCCUAGUGUAGCGGUGAAAUGCGUAGAGAUUAGGAGGAACACCAGUGGCGAAGGCGGCUUUCUGGCCUGUAACUGACGCUGAGGCGCGAAAGCGUGGGUAGCGAAC
rnacentral:rRNA from 1 species